GACGAACGCUGGCGGCGUGCCUAAUACAUGCAAGUCGAACGCUUCUUUUCCCACCGGAGCUUGCUCCACCGGGAAAAGAGGAGUGGCGAACGGGUGAGUAACACGUGGGUAACCUGCCCAUCAGAAGGGGAUAACACUUGGAAACAGGUGCUAAUACCGUAUAACAAUCGAAACCGCAUGGUUUCGUUUUGAAAGGCGCUUUACGGUGCCGCUGAUGGAUGGACCCGCGGUGCAUUAGCUAGUUGGUGAGGUAACCGCUCACCAAGGCCACGAUGCAUAGCCGACCUGAGAGGGUGAGCGGCCACAUUGGGACUGAGGCACGGCCCAAACUCCUACGGGAGGCAGCAGUAGGGAAUCUUCGGCAAUGGACGAAAGUCUGACCGAGCAACGCCGCGUGAGUGAAGAAGGUUUUCGGAUCGUAAAACUCUGUUGUUAGAGAAGAACAAGGGUGAGAGUAACUGUUCACCCCUUGACGGUAUCUAACCAGAAAGCCACGGCUAACUACGUGCCAGCCGCCGCAGUAA
rnacentral:rRNA from 1 species